rnacentral:rRNA from 1 species
GACGAACCGUGCAAACGUUGUUCGGAAUCACUGGGCUUAAAGGGCGCGUAGGCGGGCCAGCCAGUCUGUGGUGAAAGCCUCCAGCUUAACUGGAGAAGUGCCGUGGAUACUGCUGGCCUCGAGGAGGAUAGGGGCAUCUGGAACGGUCGGUGGAGCGGUGAAAUGCGUUGAUAUCGACCGGAACUCCGGUGGCGAAGGCGGCAUACUGGACCACUUCUGACGCUGAGGCGCGAAAGCCAGGGGAGCAAACGGG